AAUUUUCUGCGGUGUGCGAGGGAAUCCAACAAACAGAACUAAGGGGCGCAUGCUUGACCCCUUCCUCGAAAUGGGAAAUGUAAGCUUCUAAAGGGUCCUUAUUAUAAGUUUGUAAGAAAGUUUUCUGAACCAGACUUUCAAUCAUGUCAACUUCAUUGAUUUCUUUGUCGUUUGGUGGUUGUUUACUUAUGUUGAAGACAUUAUGCUCGACUUUCAUGUUGCCAAAAGAUAACUUCAGCAUCCCAUUUCGACAGUUGAUCACAGCAUUUGCUGUGGCUAAGAAAGGUCUACCUAAAAUUAUAGGUGUGUGACUGUCUGGAUGUAUUGCUGGUUCAGUCUCAAGGAUAACGAAGUCCACAGGAUAGUAAAACUCAUUUACUUUCACUAUUACAUCCUCUACAAUCCCGUUGGGAUACUUCACUGUCCUAUCUGCUAAGGAAAGGGUAAUAUUUGUAGGCUUUAAUUCUCCCAAACCUAAUUUUUGGUACACAUAGUAGGGAAGUAGGUUUACACUGGCUCCUAAAUCUAAUAGGUUUAUAAAAAAAAAAACAAGUACUUAGAAAUCAAAGAGUAUUUAUGAA
rnacentral:lncRNA from 1 species